rnacentral:lncRNA from 1 species
UUUUUUUGUAUAAAUAAAAUAUUUCACUCUAUAAUUUAAAUUUUAGAAGAUAUUAUUUGAAAUCAUGUUAAUAAUUACCAUGCAUAUCCAAAAUGAUGUUUUUAAUGGCAUGUAAAAGGUUUUCUUAUCAUGAGAUCUUACCUCUAAUGAGAUAAGAAAACUAUGAACUGUUGGAUGAAGGCCUAAUAAACUGUCCAAAAUAAAUUCGGAGUACACUGUAAAAAGUCCAACUAACAGUGCACUGUAUUAUGGUCAAUCUUUGUAUUAAUAUAAUCAACCAGUUUAUUCAAAAACACAAUACGGUGAUAUGAGCUCAAAUUUAAGACUGUCACUGUCUGAAGGCUGAAGCUAUAUUAAAUUAAUUCAGGUAUAAAUCACUCAGAAUUAAACAUAAGAUUAAUGCACAAAAUAACAUCAAGGCAAAGACAAUGAUAAGUUGGCUACAAAGUUUUUUAAGGGCAGAUUGCAGAGACAAGGCCAGACAAGAUCAGCUUCCCCUUUUCAGGUACCUUCUCAAGCCGUUCAUUAACCGGCACUUUGUCCUUUAAAUAACACUUAGGCCGGCUUUGGCUGUACUGUACACUCCAGAAAGCACAGUAGACAAAAGGAAGGAAACAUCUGCAGAGUUCGUCAUCAACCGAAACAAGCAAACAAUUUGUGCGUAGAUUAGCAUUUAGCCUGAUGCUCUAGGCAUUAGCCAGCAAUUAACAAACGAAAGCUUUGGAUGUCAAUUUGGCAAGAAACGGAUCUCAACUGGGCAGGUUCAAGGUAGCAGAAUCAGAGACUCAACACCAAAGUAGAAACCACCGUCAGAAUUCCAUAUGUGGCACACAGAAAUGAAAGAUUAUUAUUUUUGGUCAGUUUAAUCAUGAUGCUAAUAGUACUUAAGAAAACAGAGAAAUGCAUAGGUUGCCCUUUUGUGCUGAUGGUAGCACAACAAUGUGUCCAGGUUCCUGAAUCCAACUUGAAUGUACAAUGGACCUGAUAACUGAUCUUUUUUUCCC